rnacentral:lncRNA from 1 species
GUGUUGCCGUUGCGGCGGUGAUGGAGCGUAGACCCCUGAGGUCCGCUCUGCGCUGCUGGCGGAGACGAGGCCGCGGGGACCGCAGCGCCGGGCGACCACACCCUCGGUUUGGGGGACAAGCCUGCCUUUUGCGCACUUGGACUUUUCCCCACCCUCUUCUAAGUCUUCUAAGUCUUCUAAGUCUUACCUCCGUACCAGAUAAAGAUUUGCCUGAGAUUCCCAAGCAUCUCAAUGCCGGUACCCACAGUUCUACUCACAUUUGUCCAACGAAUGUGAAGAAAACAGCAACCAAAUGACAGCCACAGAAUUGCAUCAAAAUGAAUGGCCGCUCCGUGUGAGAUCAGGGCUCUUGUUCUCCUACCUCCGCGGCACCCGUGCCGAGGACACGACACACAGCUGGAGAAAUGUACGUGAGCCCCAGAAAUCAGGUCCAGUUUGCAUGCGCUCUCAUGACAGUACCACGGCCUAGAUGUUAAUAAAGAGAAAACAUCAGCACUUUUCUCUUGGAAACUUUGUAAUCUAACAGUCCAUGGAUUUAUCCCUCACAUAACUCCUAAAACAUAACUUAGGAGAUACUAGUUUUAAUUAAGUAUAUUCACCCGCGUGCCAGAAUUUGAUCACUUCCUUAACAUAAGAGCUGAAGAAACAGAGCAGACGAAACCGGAGGAAGAGUGCACGUGUUCUACCGCAGACACCCACUCCCAGGGACCGUGACAACAGCCGAGGGUGGCAGGGUUCCGCCCUGCCCAGAACGAGGGCUCGGGUUUGGUGCCGUCCCACGAGCCAGCACUGCGGAUCUCAGGGUAAAGAAGUGAGCUCCUGAGACUGUUUUCUAGCAGACAGGUCCCCUCGGUGCGUGACACUUGGGGUGAAUUUUCAAGCUUGGACCCGUGAGAGAGGGCGGAAACAAAGCAGCAUUGGCUCGUCUCAGAGCCAGAUCGAUGUGGAAGAUUUUCCAGUUUGUCACUCCAACGGCUAGAAUGUGCCAGGAAGAUGGAAGCGUGUGGGCAGGGAUGGGAAUCUGGUUCUUUUCAGAGGACGACGUGGGCCCCGUGAGACCUAAGACCCAGGUCGUCUGAAGACCUAGGAGGGGCCGAUACAAGAACGUUGUGCGGCCCUUUCACUCUCUUAGUAAGAAUACACCUGCAAAUGGUUCUUUCCUUUUUUCUCUAUUCCUCCUCAGGGCACCUUCCUAAACCUCGGCCAUCCCAUAAAUCAAAAGACUCUCCUGAUUCCUCUAUGUGUUUUUGUUUUUUUCUCUAACUAGGGACACGCCUAACUCCACCACUUUCCAUGUCUGCCUUUCACUUUAAAAACUGUAGUAUGGAUUUAAAAUAGCCUUUAGGGAGUUCCCGUUGUGGCUCAGUUGGUUAAGGACCUGAUGUUGUCUCUCUGAGGAUGUGGGUUUGAUCCCUGACCUCAUGAAGUGGGUUAAGGAUCCAGCAUUGCCACAAGCUGUGGUGUCGCAGCUGCAGCUCUGAUUCGACUCCUGGCCUGGGAAUGUCCAUAGGCCGCAUGUGUAACUCUAAAGAGAAUUGAAAAAAGGAAGGAAAGAAGGACGGACGAGAAAGAAAGCAGAAGAGGUCACCUUCGGGACAAGCUCAGAAAGGACUUCGCAUAAAAGGAAUAGGAAACCUGGAGAAGAAGCUGAAUGUUCCACGAUUAAAAUACGGACUCAGGUUGAGAAACUCCUGGACCAGGAAAAUUCUAACAUGUUGAUGUGUGCAGUGUGACUAAAACGUCUGUAUUUAUGUCUCUGGCUCUGUUUUGUUUCUAUGUAUAUUUGACCCUUCCCCCCCAUCGAAUUUGUGUCAUUUCAUUGCAUUUCGUGUCUCCCCAAUUCACCUCAAAUUCUCUUUGUAUAUGUAAUACCCCACCUCCAACCAACUUGUGAGCCACCCUUAGUUAUCUUUUAUUUACGGCAGAAUCAUCAAUAGAUGCGCUGUAAUAUCAACAUCACUCUCAUCCGCCAUCUGUUCACAAUAUUCUAGAACUCCUUGGAAGUCAUAUCUUGUUAAAAGUCUGAUUCAUACAAACCAGAUGUCCAGCACUAAGGAAAUGGCUUAGUAAAUGACAGUGCUUCAAGAUCCUGGAAUAUUAUGCCGCCACUAAAAUUAUAAUGAUGCAGCCUAUGUUAAAAUAUAGAGUGGUAUAAUCUCUUAUGGAAAAAUAAUAUACAAAGUAUACAUACAUUUAGAUUAUAACUGUGUUAAAUAUUUAUGUAUCAGGGAAAGAGUUAAAGAUAAUACGUAAAAAUGGUACGUGGGAGUUCCCGUUGUGCCUCAGUGGUGACAAACCCCACUAGUAUCCCUAAAGAUGCAGGUUCGAUCCCUGGCCCUGCUCAGUGGGUUAAGGAUCCAGUGUUGCCAUGAGCUGUGGUGUAGGUUGAAGAUGUGGCUUGGAUCUGGUGUUGCUGCGGCUGUGGCCUAGGCCAGCAGCUACAGCUCUGAUUUGAUCCCUAGCCUGGGAACUUCCAUAUGUGUGGCCCUAAAAAGAAAAAAGAAAAGAAAAAAAAAAAAGGAAAAAGGUGCCUGGCUCAGUCCAGGCCUACAUGGCUUUCUUAUUUCUCUUUCUUGCCUUUUUGUUCUUUUUCCUCAAAUAAAUACGCCAUGAUCUGUUGCCUGGUAAGAACUUUAGAACCAAACCAAAAAAAUAAGAAUCUAUAGUUUUGCUCCCUAGUGUCCAGUUUUCUUCUCCCUAAUAAAUGUUUAGGAAUAUCACUGACAUGAGAAAAUUUUUCUAUAGAACUGGCUAACUGGGUUUAGUAAUUCUAAAGUCAGCAGGCAGCUUUGCUCAUGGAAUAAAACACGUUUGUGGACCAGUAAAACAUGCAAUGCUGUCGAUCUGUCGACAGUAGUAAAAAGUGGGAUAAUGCAUUUUGGCUGACAGUAUUAAAGAGCAAGGUUGCUCUCUGUUGUGGCUCAGCGGUAACGAAUCUGACUAAUAUCCAUGAGGACACAGGUUCAAUUCCUGGCCCUGUUCAGUGGUAUCCAGCAUUGCCAUGAGCUGUGGUGUAGGUCUCAGACUCGGCUUGGAUGCCACUGUGGGUGUAGUAUAGGCUGGCAGCUGUCACUCCAGUUUGACCUCUAGCUGGGAUCUUCCACAUGCCACAGGUGCAGCCCUUAAAAGGAAAAAAAAAAAAAAAAGAAAAAAAGAAAAA